rnacentral:rRNA from 1 species
CCUACGGGAGGCAGCAGUAGGGAAUAUUGCUCAAUGGGGGAAACCCUGAAGCAGCAACGCAGCGUGGAGGAUGACGGUUUUAGGAUUGUAAACUCCUUUUGUUAGAGAAGUUUAUGACGGUAUCUAACGAAUAUGCACCGGCUAACACCGUGCCAGCAGCCGCGGUUAUACGGCGGGUGCAAGCGUUAGUCGGAAUCACUGGGCGUAAGGAGUGCGUAGGCGGGGUAAUAAGUCAGAUGUGAAAUCCUGUAGCUUAACUACAGAACUGCAUUUGCAACUGUUACUCUGGAGUGUGGGCGAGGUAGGUGGAAUUCGUGGUGUAGGGGUAAAAUCCGUAGAGAUCAAGAGGAAUACUGAUUGCGAAGGCGACCUGCUGGAACAUUACUGACGCUGAUGCACGAAAGCGUGGGGAGCAAACAGGAUUAGAUACCCGUGUAGUC